UACGUAGGGGGCAAGCGUUGUCCGGAUUUAUUGGGCGUAAAGAGCGUGUAGGCGGCCUGGAAGGUCAGCUGUGAAAACUCGAGGCUCAACCUCGAGACGUCGGUUGAAACCACCUGGCUAGAGUCCGGAAGAGGAGUGUGGAAUUCCCGGUGUAGCGGUGGAAUGCGCAGAUAUCGGGAGGAACACCGGUGGCGAAGGCGGGUCUCUGGGCCGUAACUGACACUGAGGCACGAAAGCGUGGGUAGCAAACAGG
rnacentral:rRNA from 1 species